CCUGCAUUCUUCUCAGAUGGCCCUGUGAUAAACUUUUCUCUGUUCCAAACUCCAACAUCUCAGUUUGUUUGGCUUCACUGUUCAUCGGGCUCAGGAACUUGUCUUCAGCAACAAGGAUUGUACCAGAAUUUCUAGCUUGCACAACAAGGGGAUCUUUCUGACCCAGGGAUCAAACCUGUGUCUCCUGCAUUGCAGACGGAUUCUUUACCGCUGAGCCACCAGGGAAGCCCCAUAGAAAAGCACCAAGGAGAAACCCACAGUUCAAUUCAGCUGAAGCAUAAGUGGUCGUCUGCACUUCAGCAAUUGGACACCAUCAGGUGAAGGAGUCUGGGAGCUGAAAGAGACACAAAUAGCAGAAGCUGAGAUGGAAGAGAAGGUGGAGAAGAAGGAACUAGCAAAAAAGUUGGUAAAGAGCAUUUUUCUUUUCAGUUCAUUGGCAUCUAGUAUCAGUACAUUUCUAAACAAUAAAAUACAAAAAUAUCAGUAUUAGUGCUGUAGUGGGCCAGAUGCAAUGAGUUAGUGGAACCUUUAAUAAACUUUAGAAAAGUUGCAUUAAUGAGAUGUGUUUCAAUGCUGGUCUCAGAAAAUCAAAAAGCAGGCUUCUGUUUGACAAGGCAAUUGUGAGAAGCAUUGUGGCUUACAGGUUUCAUUAAUUUCUAUUGCUGUAAAAUGAAAUGACAACCUAGUGUGUCAUCACUAACUUUGCGUUCACAGAGUCUGAAAAUGAACAACUGAAUAACAGUUGAAUAAUAAUUGGAGAAGUUUGAAUAUUUACCCCAUUUUUUGACGGCAACAUUAUAUGGUGCAGGGGGGUAGGGAUGCUGUUCAAAACUGGGCCGAGUUGUUGCUGGAUUUUAUUUUUCUAUAUGUAUCUGACAUUGACACUUUACAGUCCUGAUACUGAGUGAAAAGGUGAAUGUAUUCAAAUCUAAUUGAUAUGGAAAUAAAACAUCAACCAAAAGUCAACAUAACUAAUCUUAAAUAUUUAAUACAUGACUACUGUUUUUGUUCAUAGCUUGAAUUAGUUGUGAACCCCAGAAAGUGCUAAAAUCUCAUAUGUAUGUGGAGUUAUGUAUAUUCACAAAGACUUCUGUUUAAAAGCAGCAAGUAUACAAGAAAAAGCAUUAGCAAGUGUUAGGAGAUUUCAAUUCUGUCAAUAUCUAGUGGUGACCUUGGAUAAGUUAUUGAAUGUCUCAGAGCCUCCUUUUUCUCUCUGUAAAACUAGUGAGGUAAAUUGGUAAUAUUUAAGGGCACUUCACACACUGAAAUCUAUUAUUUUAUAACUACAGGUAUAGGGAAAAAUAUUUGACCAAACAAGUAACACUGAAAUCUAUCUUUAGCACUUAUUUAUCCAGCUGUUAAGCUAUUCAAGAACAUUUUUUUGUUUAGAACCUCUAAACCAUAUGCCCAUCUGAUAACCUCAAUAACUUAAUUCCUGAAAUGCAGGGCUUAAUUUGCUCUUAAACAUUCCUCACAUUUAUGCUGAAUUGUGCCUACCAACAGUGGGGGCUUGUUUCCUAGCAAAUGCGUCUUUAACAAAAUCCCCUAUGUGUAGAAAGAGGAAGUUAUUACAUCUUCAAGUUCCUCACAGCAAGUUGUUGGGUCUUAGCAAAUUGCUAAUAGGCUCAUUAAGCUCCUGCUACGAAUAUCUACAGAGCAAACACAGAAUUGAUCAUGAUAACUAAAACUGGGUUUCCGAUUUUGGUCAGGAGCCUCCAUUCUGCAGUCUUUCAGAGCGGUGAGGUGUUUUAAAAGAUGCUUGGUUUAGAGGACGCAGUGUUUUGCUGUUGGUGUCUCGCUAGCGAGUUUCUGUAUCUGGGGAGUGUUUGAAGUUCUCUGUGGUGGGGUCAGGUCUGCUCUGAAUGGGUUAAGGAGGACUACCUGCUGGAGAUUGACUGAAAUCAGUAAUGGAUCAUCUCAUAAAACUGCUGUUACUAGAUACUACCCCGCUAUCUCAGUCCUUUGAUAGCACAGAUAAGAAGUGCUUACCGCAGAGGAGGUUCUGAGAGGACAGAUACAGUUUCCUGUACCUUAGGGAGUAAAAAGCCAUAGUGCUGGAUCAGUGACUUUUCCUAACAGCAAGUAAAUUCAGGCCUUAUCAAGUUACAGCACAAACUGCACUCAUGUUUUAUUAUUCUCAUUAGAGAUUUAAGGACUAAUUCCAGUUGUUAGUGCUUAGCAGUUUAAUGUUUUCCAUAGAUAAGAAUUAAGAUUCUUCUGGGGGAUUUUUUUUUUUUUUUUUGCUAAAGCUUGCAAAAUAGAAUGCGGUGAUGCACUUACUGUCAUGUCAGGCAGUAGAUUUUCUAAAUGUCCUAAGCAUUCUGAAGGCACACAUUUUAAAAAUUUAAAUCUGAUGACUGUAUUUUUCCAAGUUGGAUGUUCACCCAUUCCAUGGAAACAUGCCUUUCUUUGUCUGAAAACCCAAAUCUGCUGUCCCUCAGGAAAUAGAAUACCAGAGAUGGGACGGGAGACUGUGGGGUAACUCGUCUUUAACUGUCUUGUAUUUUCUCAAAGUAAAUUCACUUAAUCGAGAGACUGAUUCUAAAGAAAAGACCUGUUUUGUAGUAAACUUGGCUUUAAAUUCAUUCCUUAUAGUGAAGCUGGCUUACCUUCCCAAACAGGUGGAAGAAAGCUGUGACUGGCAUGUUCAUUCUAUUUCUGUUUUCAAAGAGAUGACAAAGUUUGGGUUGAAAAGCAAAAAUUUAGGCUUACCGUCUGCUUGGAUAUUAACAUUAAAUCAGUAUUUCAGUGACUUUUCAGUAAUGUGAGCCUGUAGUUUCCCCAAAUUAGUCUUCCUAACAUUCUUGAAGGAAAAAAAAAAAAAGAUUUUUGAAAAAGAACAUUUAAUGUAAGUCACAAGUGUGAUAACAUUGUUAUUGGAGUUAAAGCUCAAUGAUUAAUGUCUUAUCUGGAGGUUAUAUUUAUUAAAAUUAGUCUUUUUGUAUGACAAAUCUAUUGUGAAAAACCUUAUUUUAGCCCUUUGUUUUCCUUGGAUUUAGCUUCAGAUUUUUCAUCACAUGUGGUUUGAGGCUGUGUGGUGCUUUCAGAGGUGGCUGAAUUUUUCAGUAGUGUCAGUCACAAAGCCUAUUGUCAAGUUUUGGAGUCCUUUAGAAGAAAAUGUGCUACACGCAAAUGAAAGUUAUGGUCUUUGGGAGGCAUUCAUCGGCUGACAUCCUGAUGGCUGUUCUUGGAAAAACCUUUUCCUAAGGUAAAAUAGUUCUAGCAGCGAUGCUAGAAGAAUGGUCUACUUUAUGGCAGCUUGGGAAUCCUGAAUACAUCUGCUAGGUAAGGAUUAAUGGUAUAAUAAUAAUAUAAAUAGCAGCUAUCCUUUAUUGUGUGCCAGACCCUGUGAUAGAGGUUUUAAAGGCAUUACCUUAGGUAUCAAUUGUUUUUUCAGGAAAAUCUCAAUGUGUUCAAUGGACCAUUUUUUUUUUUUUCAUUUUUAAGACAGGAGGACCUAUUCUUGUUAAUAUUUUUGCUUCUUCCUGGAUUUUCCGGUUUCAUGCCUGUUUGUGCCCUGGUUUGUUUCCCCCUUUUAUCCAGUGAUAUUCUAUCCGCCAGAAAAAAUGUAACAUGCUUGUUCCAGUUAUCUUACUGGGUGCAAUUCUCCUUAUACAGGAAAUAAAUUUAUUAUGAAGAACUCCCAGUAGAAGCCUUGGAAAACUUACACAGAGCUGUGCUGUGUCCAAAAUGCUGUUCAGUAGGUUUUCGAAAGCACCCAGGUAACAGCUGGUGCAGGCCAUGUGCCAGCUUUGACAGCCCAUAUGCUCUCUUUAGUGCAGUAAUUAUCUCAACACAAAACUCUGAUAGCCUAGUCUGCUGGGUCCAGUUUCUCUGGGUUAAAUUGACUCAGUGGCUUUGUUAGUAAGUUCCUUUGGCACAGUAAGAACUUCAUCAAGAGUUUAAGUAUUGGGGUAGGCUUCAAAGACCAAUAUGACUGCUACUUUCAAGACAGGUGGCUUAUUAACCCUGAGAGAUUCUAGGUGGCGGUUCAUUAGGUUGUCACCCCCAGCAAUACUCUAGUUAAAGGCCUGUCAUUGUUUCUACCAGAUCCUCAGCUAAGGGAGGAUGACUCACUCGUCUAUUUUGGUCAGAGGCUAAGAGUUUAAUUUUUUCGUUUCAGUUCUAAGAUAGGCACAAGGGACUGAAAUACACCACUGAAUUUCAGUGGUGGUGCUGGGAGUGGAAGUGUUGGGAUGAGGCAUGGUAGGACAGAAGAGGUGAAAAAUAGCUGGAUUCAAACGGGUAUAGGCAUUGUUAGUUGGACCAUCGCAAGCAAGACUUCCCUCUCUUUAUAUGUCCCUCUUUUCUCUAGCAUGUUAAUAAUUUCUCUCUGUGUAUAAAAUUCACAUGUUAGAAGUUUGGAGUCCAUAUUUGUGAGUGGUUGGUUUCUUCUCUCCCUCCCUCCCUCCUUCCUUCUUCCCUUUUCUCUCUCUUUUUCUUCUUAUUCCUUUACCCCCUUUCAUCCUCUCUUCUUUCUUUUCUUCUGAGAAACACACAUAGCCAAAGAGCCAGCUGCAAUAAAACAAUUAAUUAAUACAAACCCGCAGUGGUAGUAGAGAGAAAACUUCCCAUGCAUAGCAGCCGUGACCUUGAAAAGUGUUGCCUGGUGUGCAAUCAGAAUUCAGCCGCAGAUGUUUGAAGUUAAGCAAGUGUGAUAUGCCAUUAGCAUUUCAGCUUCUUUUCUGUCUUCUGUUCUUAGCAUAGACUUUGAGUGAUAACUGUGCUUGUCAUGACAUGCUAUUAUAUCACAAAUGAGUUUCAACCUUACUUUUGGUCUUUUCAUAAGAUGAUACUAGGCUCAUAAUCUUAGCAAGAACAUUGAGCCACUAGGUCUUUUGGCCAAGAGCAGCUUUCCCUGUGCUAAGCCUGUGGGGGUAAAAUGAAUGGUUGAGUCUCUAAUAGAGCUUGGGUACAGAAUGGCUUCAGACAGCUCCCAAAGAGAGGAUGGCGUUCUACCCAUUGGAAUCACUAGGUGGCAUAAAAUAAUUAGACUGUCUCACAAUUAUUCUUGAACCUAAAGAAGGCUCGAAGCAAGGGCUGUCUGCUUUGUCAGUAUACUUUUAAUUUCUUGUGCUGAAGAAGAGGAAUGCACAAAAAUAAGUGCAAUACAAGGUCCAGGAGAGACGGGGUCCUACCUUAUAAUGCUAUAUAACUCCAUAGCCCCUGUAAUACUCUGAUCAUCAUGCUUCUUUCCUUCCUUACUCCAUAUACGCUAAUCUGGUUCUUGCCAGACCUUUUGUAUCUCUCAUGUUCAUUAUUGUAACGUCCCAAGAUAGAGGGCUGUCUGGCAAGUAAAUAUUGGCUAAGUGAAUGAAUAAAUGGAGUGAAGUAGGUGCUUCUCUUUAUGGAAAUAACUCCAACUCUAAGUGGCAGUAUAUAACUUUCCAGGUGGUGCUAGUGCUAAAGAACCCGCCUGCCAAUGCAGGAGACACAAGAGAUGCAGGUUCGACUCCUGGGUCAGAAAGAUCCCCUGGAGUAGGAAAUGGCUCUUACCUGGAAAAUUCUAUGGACAGAGGAGACUGGUAAGGUACAGUUUAUGGGGUUGCACAGUCGGACACAGCUGAGAGUCUGAGCACACACCAACCCACCCACACACACACAAUGGAUGAGUCAGGGAAGUGGAGUCAAUGUGGUCCUGAGUGCUGGGCCGUCCAGUUGGAUGAGACGAUUGGAUCUUUUCGAGACAAUUCUUGGCUUUAAGGAUUCUAAGGAAAGUCUGGAGGCCCCAGAUCCUUAGUGACCAAGGUCCAGGGUAGGGACAUGCCCAGGGUUAAUUUAUUUCAAGCUGGAUUCUAGGUUGAAAUUGGUUCAUUACUAAUGUAAUGUCAUUGCACUAGUGUGUUUUCAAUUUAAUACUGCGCAUUAAAACCCUAAAGAGCUUUUGUAGAAAGCUAGACCAGCUAGUUUAUAAAAACUCAAACACAGACCUUCGUUAUUUAGUUUUCAAAUACAGGUAGUUAUACUUCUAAAGUCAUUAUUUAUAUGUUGUCAGGAGUACUCACCAAAUUUAUUGACUUGUACAUUAUUCUUUGCAAAUAAGUUCUGGCUGCUCUCUGCAUAUUAUAAUUAAAACGACAGGGACUUUAAUCAUUUAUGAAAUUUUAAACUACAUACUGAAUAUAAAUGUAUCAUUCAAUGUGAUAGAAUGAAUUAAAUUCAUCACUGUCAAAUAACUGUAUAAAAGAUGAAAUAUCUCUCAUCCCACAUCAUUAACUUAUUAAAAAAAAGAACCAGAUUUGCAAGCAUUGUAAUAAUACUUUUAUGGUCUUCUAAGGACACUUUGAAAACUAAGACAUUUGGCAUAUAUAAGAAAAAUAUUGUUGACCAAAAAGUUGAUUUCUAAUUUUAUCUGUAAAAGUUCUAUUUGAAUUGGUAAUGAAGAGUAGCUUUCAGAUGGAAUCAAAUAUAUGGAAAUUCUUUUAUGAGAACAUGAAGCAUUUUUAUCACCAUGGUAUACAUAGGUAAAACAGAGGUUUGGCCAUCCACAUCACUUAGGUGAAAAUUCUUUCUGUGAAUUGAAAGGCUAAUUUGGGGCAGGAAGGGAAUUGAAAUAUUUAUCUGGUAUAGGUAAGUACCAGGUGAUAUUUGACCACUUUUCAAGCAACAUUCUGGGCAUGUUUAGAUACAGUGUCACACCGAGAUCUCUAAGAAAAACCAAACAGAAUUGGCAAGCCAUGAUUCUGAUAAUUAUUUUUAUUUUCUAGUUUGCUAUAAUCGCUACCAUUUUCAGCUAACAUAUGUACUUAUGAAACCCUAUGAGAUUCUAUUCAAAAUAAAUUUUGUGAGAUAAUUUUAUACCAGAAUGUUUUCUAAAGUGUGAAAACCUCCAUGUAUCAUUUAUUUCAGGAAAAUAUAGACUAUAAAGUUUUAAAUACUUCUCCCCCAAUCUAACUGAGUCUUUGGAAGUUUCAAUUAUUUUAUCUAUGUUUCUUGGUUUCCAUCUCUUCUUGGGCAAGACAUUUGUUAAUCUUCUGAUUGAUUCACUCAUUUAAGAAAUUUUUAUUGAGCCCAGCAAGACAUCAGGGGCAGGGAAAAAGGGGACGUGGUUGGGGAUGAGAUGAGAAUCUGAGCCCUUCCUUUCGAGAAAUAGCUAUUUAAUGGAGGUAACACAGGUCUUGAUAAAACCUGAAAUGGGCAAUUCUUUCAUCAACUUAUGAAAUUAACCAGUUAACUUUUAAUUUGGGGGGAACAAAAGUAUAAAUUAAGUAAAAUUAUUUUCCCACAUCUCAAUUUGUUUAAUCUCACUCCUAGCCGUGAACUUCAUGCAGUGUUUCCAACAAGACAUAACUAGAAGGAAAUAAGCCUUUGGUGGUAUUCUAGGAUACUCAAUAUAAUUUUUAUGAAAGUGAAAAUAGGAAGAAAAUCUUAAGUCCAAACAAGACAAGAUAUGUCACAGUGGAAAUCAAAUCUCUGAGUUUUCAGUGUUAUAUUCAGUGAUAUUUUAUCUUGUCAAUAAUUUUAGAUUGGGUGUUUUCAGAGUGCAGUUAAAUAAUACUGAGUUCCUUCUAUUCUCUGGCCCAUUAGCACCAGAACCCACAAAAAUCAAUGUCAUCUAGAAUUUUAUAUCAUAUUAGCUGUAAGAUACCUCACUGACUUGUAGUUCCUUGUAACUAUUUUUGAAAAGUAAGAAUUGUUUCCAGCAGGGAAACAAUUCCAGAAUUAGGAAGCGUGUAUAGGAUUUGGGAAUCGAUAUAGCAAAAACACUUAUUGUUGUUGAUUAAUAUACUCUGCCCUGACAGAGUCUGUUAAAAGCUGACUAGAAACCAAUUUAGUCUGACUGUUAAUUAUAAAGUUAACUUUAGCUUUAUAUUAAUCAGCAAGUUUGAAUAACAGUGAAACUACAAAAUGACUAAUAAUUCAAAAGAAAAACCACACACACACACAUAUACACAAACCAGAGAGUGGAAUAAUGAUUUAAAGAAAUAUUUUAGAUGAAAACAUAUGUUCUCAAAAGUACUUUUGUUGCAGCACACACAGGUUUUUGCCCCCAAACAUGGGUCCUGAUCUGUGAAAUGUAUUCCAUAUACAUUUUGCCUUUCUUUAAAAAACAGCGUUACAACUUACUUGGUGUUCUUUCUUGCUCUUGCUUUUUUUGUGUGUUUUCGUAGAGCAGUAUUUUUUAUUAGCCUGCUUUAGGAGUUUAUGGAAGACAAAUUUUAGUACCUACCCUCAUCAUUAAGAACCUGAUAUGAAAAUGAUCAUCUGUUUGAAAGCAAGGCUUCUUGCUUAAAUGCCUUCCCAAGAUGUCUAGCAGCUUACAGCUAUGUUUUAGACCUGUAACUGUAUACAGUGGUAGUUGGCAUGAAGCAACAAAGCCUGGCUAAGACAGAAAGACACCAGCAACUGAAGCAUUGUUUUCUAAGGCUCUAUGAUCAGACCCCUUUUACUGAGAGAUUUUAUUAGGUUUGAAAUAUAAUUUUCACAAAGUAGCCACGGAUUCAGAGUAAAGUGCAUUGGCUAAACACUUUAUCUCCUUUCCCACCUGCUUCUCAGUAUUAUUUCAGAAUAGAAGGUGAAACUGUAUUCCUUGGUGUGCAGUUUAAAGUCAAGAGCAGCAAUAUUUAGCACAUGCUUGGGCAACCUUGUUUGAAAUCCAUGCGGCCCCUCUCUGGUGUUCUGAUGUGCCUUUAGGGGAUGCUUGCCUGUUUGUAGUUUGUUUUCUUUUGUUUAAGAUUUCAGCUACUGCAUUGACUAAUGAUUAUAUAGCAGUAAACUCUCGUCCCUGCUAAAUUCAGUAGUGAUGCCUCAAAAGCAUUUUUCCCUUGUGUGAUAUAAAACAAUAAAAGAACUAGACAAACCCCUUUUGAGGAAGAAUAAUCCUUUGUUUAAAGAAAAGAAAAGGCAUCUCCUUGACGCCAGAGACUGGAGAAUUCAAAUCAAAGCCUGAGCUAAUUGAUUAAAAAUAAAAAAAGUGUUAAUUUAGAAAAAUAUUCAUGGGGAGUUGUGAUCGAUUAGAAGUUAUUACUAAUAUCCCAUUUGUAUGUGCAUAACCUCUCUAUUCUGCUAAUUCUCUAAUAUUUAUUUAACACAUUAUUACUUGAUUGACACCCUCUGCUCUUAAAUCUAAACUCUAAAUAAUGAAUCUGUUUCUUCAGAUUUAUUUCAUGUUGCCAGCAUAAUUCAUUGAUGGGAUUUUGGUCAGACAGCUGUAUGUUAUUUCUCUGAAGAUAGCUAAAUGUAUCAUUACCUUCUGCAUUUGUUCUUUAAUAAAAAUUAAAACAAUCUAUUUAGAAAUACAAUGUAUAUAUCAUAAAUUUGACUAAAAAAUUAAACAAACCAUAGAUUUACAAAAUCUUAGCCUUCAGGUUUACCAAUGCCAAAUGCAAAGAAUUUGAACACGCCAUUUAAUUGUCCUCCCUGCAAUGUUUUUAAUGAGACUUGUAGCCAUGAUUCUAAGUGAUAAAUUCUUCUUGAUUUGCCUCCAGUUGUCACUGGCCAAACCUUAGGGAAUGAGAGAUUAGUUACGGUUGCAAAAGACUUAUUAUUUUAAACUGGAGAAUUUUUAAUGUCCUUAACCCAAUUAAGCAGAGAGUGAAGAAUCUAUCAAUAUUGUUGUCAGUUUAUGAGACAAGAAUAUCUUCCAAAUUUUAAAUUAGUUAGAGAUGCUGUUCAAUUUCUGCCUUUAACUUAGAAUAGAAGAAUGUAUUAAAUUAGUAGUUGACCCUGGUACCUAAAUGUCACAUCACUAACAUUAAAAAAAAAUGCCUUGUGAUUUAAACAAAGAUUCCAUCAAUGGGCAGGAUUUCAGCUCUCAUCCAAUUUUUAAUAGCAUUUGUGUUUUAUCACCCAAGUCCUUGAGGAACGUAAACAAGCUGUACCAUGCCUAUGUGCUUGGUCCUACAGUGACAUUAAUAUGUGCUUUCACAAUUUUAAUCCCCACUUACAAAACCCCAGGGAAAAGAAGUUUCGUGUUAUAUUUAAGUAAAGAAUCUCAGAGACCACUUUCAGGCCACAAAAUGGUCCAAGUUGGCCCCAAACACAGGUGCUCCCAGUUUGAACAUCACGUCUGGCUUUUCUGCAGAGAUACAAAAUGAAAGAGCAACUUCAAACACAGGUGCGAAUCCCCACAUCUGUGAGGGACAGCCCGAAACCAUGGCUUUCUCCUGACCGUUUUCGGCUUGUAAACCUCAUCCUCCAUGGAGCACCUGUGUCAGAACCAAUCAGAGACGUGUAUAAAUGUUAUCAACACCUACACAUCAUUACUUAUUUAUCAACAUCAGCACCAAAUAUUGAUGCAAACAUGCAAGACUGUUGGGUUGUUUGUUUGUUUUCCUCCGGAGCUGCUCUUUUCUGAAGCUCAUGUCCGUUUGCCCGACAGCCGAUAAGAACGAGUGCAAUACACAGAAAAGAAAAAAAUGGGAAUGAAUAUUUCAGGCUUUAAAUCCUCCAAUCAUCUGUAUCAGUGUCACUUUUUAAUCUUUAAAUUGAAUUCCUUUGAUGGGAAAAAUAGGGUGCACACAAAAGAUUUAAACAUAUUGAUUGCCUAAAGGCCUAAUUGCAGUAAUUCCAUCCUUGGUGGAAGACUUUUGUGCAGGCGCUUCCUCCUUGGUGGUCAGGUUCGUUCUCACUGUUUGAUGAGCCCUCAAAGAACCUACAUUAGAAGCUGUGUAAGACUGUGUUUUUUCCACAGCAGUAGCAAGCAGCAGAAGCAGCAGGGGCUGGCUCCCUGGCAAACUCCACAGGCAUUUGGUUUAGUGGCUUUGUAUUUGCCUCUGGGUCUUUCCUG
ensembl:lncRNA